AUUGAACGCUGGCGGCAGGCCUAACACAUGCAAGUCGAACGAGUGGCGGACGGGUGAGUAAUGUCUGGGAAACUGCCUGAUGGAGGGGGAUAACUACUGGAAACGGUAGCUAAUACCGCAUACCAUCAGCUGUGCCCAGAUGGGAGUAGCUAGUUGGUGGGGUAACGGCUCACCAAGGCGACGAUCCCUAGCUGGUCUGAGAGGAUGACCAGCAACACUGGAACUGAGCAACGGUCCAGACUCCUAGGGGAGGCAGCGGUGGGGAAUAUUGCACAAGGGGCGCAAGACUGAUGCAGCCAUGCCGCGGUUAUGAAGAAGGCCUUCGGGUUGUAAAGGACUUUCAGCGUGAAGGCGUUACCCGUAGAAGAAGCACCGGCGAACUCCGUGCCAGCAGCCGCGGUAAUUC
rnacentral:rRNA from 1 species